GGUCUAUGGAGCCGGUGCGCCUCCAAGUCGCAUGGGUAACUUCCGGGAAAAUUACGGUCUGAUGCUGCUUCCUGGGUCAUGUGAUACUGGAGCUUCAAUCAAAUCAUCCGCCCACCUCACUAUCAUUUAAUAUUGCAGACUCAACCCACGGUUGUACAAACCUGAGGUGCUGUCUGUGCAAUUUCUGAGUGAAGCCAUGGCAUUCAUGUACUCUGCUCCCAAGAACUGAUCGUAGGAUGUUUCAGCUCUGAUCUCCUGCAGACACUUGGUGGAGUCCUUGAAGAGGAGGUUCCUUCCUAAGUCUGACUGGAACAGGUUGAACGAGGGAUCGCUGCCGCCGAUACCAAACUUGGACUGAAAAAUAAAAACAAGAUUAAGGUUUAGAA